rnacentral:sRNA from 19 species
CUUAUAUUGAGUAUAUGGGGGUAAAACAUGAUUAUUCAACGAAAGAAGUAACAGAAAAUAAAAAAGGAGGCUUAUGCCUCCUUUUUUUAGCCUUU